AUUGAACGCUGGCGGCAGGCCUAACACAUGCAAGUCGAACGAGUGGCGGACGGGUGAGUAAUGUAUGGGAAUCUGCCCGAUAGAGGGGGAUAACUACUGGAAACGGUGGCUAAUACCGCAUACUAUCGGAUGUACCCAGAUGGGAUUAUCUAGGAGGUGGGGUAAAGGCUCACCUAGGCGUCGAUCCCUAGCUGGUCGGAGAGGAUGACCAGCCACACUGGAACUGAGACACGGUCCAGACUCCUACGGGAGGCAGCAGUGGGGAAUAUUGCACAAUGGGCGCAAGCCUGAUGCAGCCAUGCCGCGUGUAUGAAGAAGGCCUUCGGGUUGUAAAGUACUUUCAGCGGGGAGGCGUUACCCGCAGAAGAAGCACCGGCUAACUCCGUGCCAGCAGCCGCGGUAAUUC
rnacentral:rRNA from 1 species